rnacentral:rRNA from 1 species
GGGUAGCAAACAGGAUUAGAUACCCUGGUAGUCCACGCUGUAAACGAUGUCGAUUUGGAGGUUGUGACCUAGUGUUAUGGCGUCCGAAGCUAACGCGAUAAAUCGACCGCCUGGGGAGUACGGCCGCAAGGUUAAAACUCAAAUGAAUUGACGGGGGCCCGCACAAGCGGUGGAGCAUGUGGUUUAAUUCGAUGCAACGCGAAGAACCUUACCUACUCUUGACAUCCACGGAAUUUGGCAGAGAUGCUUAAGUGCCUUCGGGAGCCGUGAGACAGGUGCUGCAUGGCUGUCGUCAGCUCGUGUUGUGAAAUGUUGGGUUAAGUCCCGCAACGAGCGCAACCCUUGUCCUUUGUUGCCAGCGCGUAAUGGUGGGAACUCAAAGGAGACUGCCGGUGAUAAACCGGAGGAAGGUGGGGAUGACGUCAAGUCAUCAUGGCCCUUACGAGUAGGGCUACACACGUGCUACAAUGGCGCAUACAAAGAGCGGCGAGCGUGCGAACGUAAGCGAACCUCAUAAAGUGCGUCGUAGUCCGGAUUGGAGUCUGCAACUCGACUCCAUGAAGUCGGAAUCGCUAGUAAUCGUGGAUCAGAAUGCCACGGUGAAUACGUUCCCGGGCCUUGUACACACCGCCCGUCACACCAUGGGAGUGGGCGGCAAAAGAAGUAGGUAG